rnacentral:rRNA from 1 species
UACGGAGGGUGCAAGCGUUAUCCGGAUUCACUGGGUUUAAAGGGUGCGUAGGUGGGCAGGUAAGUCAGUGGUGAAAUCUCCGGGCUUAACUCGGAAACUGCCAUUGAUACUAUCUUUCUUGAAUACCGUGGAGGUCAGCGGAAUAUGUCAUGUAGCGGUGAAAUGCUUAGAUAUGACAUAGAACACCAAUUGCGAAGGCAGCUUACUACGGGAUCACUGACACUGAGGCACGAAAGCGUGGGGAUCAAACAGG